GCGCGGGUAGCUCAACGGUAGAGCAGCUGUCUUAUACACAGCUGGUUGAAGGUUCGAAUCCUUCCCCGCGCA
rnacentral:tRNA from 1 species